rfam:Strongylocentrotus purpuratus Contig36973_fixed, whole genome shotgun sequence.
CCAACAGUCCUUUUCAGGACUACACAAAUAUUAAAGAAAGAAAGAU